CGCUGCGCUGCGGCGGCGCGGUGCCGGGGUUGGGCCGGGUCCGUCCCGCUCGGCGCCCCGGCAGUACGUGACGGCGGGGUCCCGCGGGCUGCCCGCGGCGCGGCUGAGAGCACAGAGCGCAGAGCUGCGGGGUGCUGUUUUGGAAGAACAGCCUCUGAUCAAGAUUAAAAAUUGUUGUUGGAAUAAUAUGCGAACAGAUCAUGAAGAACUCUGUGGCACCAGUUAUGGAUCUUUUUGUCUAAAUGGAGGAAUUUGUUAUAUUAUUCCUACUGUAUCCAGUCCAUUCUGCAGGUGUAUUGAGAACUACACAGGAGCCCGCUGUGAAGAAGUUCUGCUGCCCAGCAUCAAGUCUCAAACAAAAGGUGACCUGUUUGCAGUUCUCUUGGCUUCACUACUUCUGCUAGGAGUUCUUUUAAUUGGAACAUUCUACUUCCUUUGCAGGAAAGCAUCCAUUCCCAGAACAAGUUCAUCAGAGUGUGGUGCCAACCUGGUUGAGACUACAAGCAGCAAUGGCUGCAACAAAAUAAUAACAGAGUAAAGCAUUAGCUUGGAAGAAUGGUGAGAAAACAACGUGCAGAACAACCAUAAAAGUUGUAGUGGUUGAAAUGGAUUCCCUUACUCUGGCAAAGAGAGGUCAAAUGACAUGGUCUUUCUCUCUUUCUGCCUUGAUGACACAAAGAGACCGGAUGGGUAGUCAGCGGCACAGAAAAUGUGAAUUGAACAAUUUUAUUUUCAACUCAUUUCUGUCACUGGAGGUUGCAACUAGGAAAAAACACACCUAUUUCCAUAAUGGCACAUUACCUAGCAGUUCACUGUAUGGCAUUUAUAAUGUUGUUUUGAAGAGAAAGUUUAUUGAGAAAAUUUCAGGAUUUCAAAGGGGAGAAAAUGCUGAAUGCAGAUAUCUCAUCUCUGAAAUAAAAAAAAUGGAGGUAUAUAAAAAUGUAGGUGCAAAGAAAAAUUUGAAUAAGCUUCAAUUCCUAGGGUGUCUACUGCAUGCUCUUUUGUCAGAAAAAAUACUGUGUAUUUUAUAUCAAUAUAGACAAAAGUACAGCAAGACAGAGAAGAAAAGGCAUAGUGCUACAGUGUAUAAGGUAAGAAGUCAAGGAGAAAACCGUAACAUAAAAACUAUUAGAAAACAACACAGAAAAAUACAUUACUUUCUGAGUAUUCAUUUCAGAGAAGUUGGAGCCCAAGUUAAAGCUCAACAUCUACAGGGAAAAUCUGAAAGCAUCAAAUCAAGUAGAGGCCCUGAUCCAGAGAUGUUCCGUAUUAAGUUAUAUAAAGCACUGAAAGAUAAGUUUCUCCCCAAAUUAACUGAACUUAGAUGUUAUUUCUUGGACUUCAAACCCUUAGCAGAUACUCAUGAGGAAGCUGAUAAUGUUGUUUUAAAGGCUAAGAAAGAUGAAAGAGGUUUUUCAUCACAUAUGGACAUGCCAAUGUUAAAUGCAGAGUUUAGAUGUGCAGCAAUAAUGAUAGCUACAUUAGAAUCCGUGUUACCUAAAAUACUUUGCAUAGUCUCAGUGGAAAUUAGUCACAGAGGACGGCUGUUAAAUAAUUUCCAUGUGUUAUUGAUCAUGAGACAUUCAGACUUAAUAACAGUAAACUUCAGCACACUAUUUUCAUUGAAAGAAGAAAAGGCUUAUGGUCAUCUUAAAUGGAAAUUCGGGAAGGAAAUAUUAAUAGAAGAUGUGAAAAAUAAAUGGACUCAAGUUGUACACUAUAACCUCUUACAAUCCUCUCAGCUUUCCAGACAAACAUGGAAUAGUUACUCAGUAUUACCAAUCAUGUUUGCAUUAUCCAGGAAACAAUUUGUACAAAAAAUGAGAAUGAAUAAAACAAAACCAUGUUUAAAUGCAAACAAGUCGAUUUAUGAAACAAUGUUAUCUUUGAAUGAAAUCCUAUUAGCCAUUCAGGUUCCUUCUAAUCCACUGCAACUGAGAACAUUUCAGCUUCUAAAAUUAUUUAUUUCAAUUCACAAGCUUGGGGAAUUUGUCUUUCAGGUCAAAAGGAGAUUAGGUUACAAAUUCAUUUUAAGCUGGCCAAAUGCCACAGGAAGUGCAGGGUAGCCAACAUUACAUCCAAUUUAAUAGAAUUGUGCAAUGCUUGCUUACAAAAUUAAGCAAGCAGUCCUGUGAGCAAGAAAGCUACAGAAACACUGGUUCCAAUGGAUCUGAUCUUGAGCCUGGAAUCAGUGGAGCGUAAAAAGUGUUAUGUGUAUACACAGGGAUGAGUCAUACGGUCUCUUCUCUGCUUGACUCCAGUUUUCAUGAAACAUAAAAUCUCCUAUCUUUGAAAUUACCCCUCCACCAGUUUAAAGGUUACAGGGGGAAGAGAACUGGAAAAGACCGGUUGCCUAGGAGCUGACACUAAUACAAUUACACACCAAUUGAUUUGUUACAGCAAAAAUUCUUAUAUUUGAGGAUCAUGUUUUCCUUCCUUUCCUUCCUCAUAGUAAAGGGCUUUUCUUAAUGUGUUAGUGAAUCCUUCUGAUCAUUUGCAAAAAAAAAUGCCAACCACUAACAGGAAAUCUCUUUAUAGACCUAAGUAAGAGGCUGCUUAUAUGUUGUUCAGUCUCUCUCUCCCAUGUUUUUUCAAAUACCUGUUCAAGGGAAAUGAAGAUUUUUCUGUCUUUGGAUUUAUAUCAUUAAAUAUUAUGUGGGAAGACCAAUGGGCAAUCCAUUUGGUAGCACUAACCAUUCUAACGGUACCUUCAAUAUUAUGCCACCCCUUCACAAUUUACUGCACCGAAAAAAUAUUUUCCUCCUGGCCCUGCAUUUUGAAAGAACAGUAGAGAGGCUCUGACAGUAUGACUUAGUUAUUUCAAAAUGGAAAGCAGGGAAGAAAUGGGGGAGAGAACUUACCACAACAGACAUUCCAUCUGCGCCACUGCUUUUGGUUUCAAGUGUUGUGACUGUAGGAACUACCAACUGAUCAGAAUCCAUGCAGAAAGGAAAAACAGUGAUCAUGCUAAAAAGCUAAAAUUUCCUGUUGUGUGUUCAGCAAAUUCUGUAUCAGGAGAUAUGUACCUAGAAGGGGCUGCCCAGGGAGGGAGAGCUUUUGUUCAAGGUGGUUAUGGAUGGAACAUGGGACAACCACCUCUUCUACAUUAAAAGACAAGCCCACACCCCUCAAUUAUGUUCCAUUGGUAUUUGGCAUCCUUUCGGCUUUAAAUGAUACCAAGCUAUUUAAGAUAAAAACUGACAGAACUGUGGAUUAGUUUCUGUAGGAGUUUUCACUAGUACUAUGACCAUAUUCAAACCCGGGAAUAUUAUUGAAGGUGUAUCUGUGUGAGUCGGGGGGUGGGGGAGAACUAGAGCUAAACUGGUUAUGAUUCUCUGGCAAUGUUAUUUACAUCACCAGGAUACAAAUGUUCAUUGUAUCUCUCUCUCAGAUGUAAUGUCUUCUGUUGACAUCUAUGCAUGUAAAUGAAGAGAUGGAACAUUACUGUAUGUCUGAUUAUACAGAAUAACCAGAAGAAUCUAGACAUAAAUUGUUGGGUUUUUUUUGUUAAGAUAAGUGAAAAAGGUUCUUUCAAGCAAGUACUGCAGUAUCUUCUGCACUUCAGGGGAAAACAAGCAAACAAAAACGUGUCUGCCUAAAGAUGUUAAAAAAAUAAUCAUUAUUGUAUGUAAUAUUACUCGCUUGUGCUUAUUC